AACUCUUACAUGUCUGUUUAGGUAGGUUGUACAGUUAAAGGUUUUACCACAGGUGCUACAAGAAUAUGGUUUCUCACCUGUGUGACGUCUCAUAUGUAUAUUCAGUUGGGAUUUAAACACAAAUGCUUUUCCACAGGUGCUACAUGAAAACGGUUUCUCACCUGUGUGACAUCUCACGUGUGCAAUCAGGCGUGAUUUAAACUGAAAACUUUUCCCACAGAUGUCACAUUGUUCAGUCUUUUUUAUUGCCCCA